AUUGAACGCUGGCGGUAGGCCUAACACAUGCAAGUCGAACGCGAAAGUCCUUCGGAGUGAGUAGAGUGGCGGACGGGUGGAGUAACGCGUAGGAAGUCUAUCCUGUAGUGGGGGAGUAACGUUUCGAAAGGAACGCUAAUACCGCAUACGCCCCAAGGGGAAAGCGGGGGAGUCUUCGGACCUCGUGCUAUAGGAGGAGCCUGCGUCGGAUUAGCUAGUUGGUGAGGUAAAGGCUCACCAAGGCGACGAUCCGUAGCUGGUCUGAGAGGAUGAUCAGCCACACCGGAACUGAGACACGGUCCGGACUCCUACGGGAGGCAGCAGUGGGGAAUAUUGCGCAAUGGGCGAAAGCCUGACGCAGCCAUUACCGCGUGUGUGAAGAAGGCCUU
rnacentral:rRNA from 1 species